rnacentral:rRNA from 1 species
CAGAGGACAGUGGCGGACGGGUGAGUAACGCGUGAGGAACCUGCCUAUCAGAGGGGGACAACAUUUCGAAAGGGAUGCUAAUACCGCAUGAUAUCUAAGUACCGCAUGGUAUUUAGAUCAAAGAUUUAUCGCUGAUAGAUGGACUCGCGUCUGAUUAGCUAGUUGGUGAGGUAACGGCUCACCAAGGCGACGAUCAGUAGCCGAACUGAGAGGUUGAUCGGCCACAUUGGGACUGAGACACGGCCCAGACUCC